rnacentral:rRNA from 1 species
UCGAGGAUCUUCGGCAAUGGGCGCAAGCCUGACCGAGCGACGCCGCGUGCGGGAUGAAGGCCUUCGGGUUGUAAACCGCUGUCAGAGGGGAGGAAAUCUUCCGGGUCCACUCGGGAGUUGACCUAUCCUCAGAGGAAGUCCGGGCUAAGUUCGUGCCAGCAGCCGCGGUAAUACGAACCGGACAAACGUUAUUCGGAAUCACUGGGCUUACAGGGUGCGUAGGCGGUCUGGAGGGUGGGGUGUGAAAUCCCUCGGCUCAACCGAGGAAUUGCGCUCCAAACCGGCAGACUUGAGGGAGACAGAGGUGUGCGGAACUGAUGGUGGAGCGGUGAAAUGCGUUGAUAUCAUCAGGAACACCAGUGGCGAAAGCGGCACACUGGGUCUCUUCUGACGCUGAGGCACGAAAGCCAGGGGAGCGAACGGGAUUAGAUACCCCGGUAGUCCUGGCCGUAAACGAUGAGCACUUGGUUGGAGGGUAGUUACUGCCUUCGGCCGUAGCGAAAGUCG